GGCUCAGGAUGAACGCUGGCGGCGUGCCUAACACAUGCAAGUCGAACGAAGCACUUCCGGUUGAGAUUCGUCAAGAACUGGAUUUGACUUAGUGGCGGACGGGUGAGUAAUGUAUGAGCAACCUGCCUUCAGAGGGGGACAACAGUUGGAAACGACUGCUAAUACCGCAUAAUGUAUUGAGGAGGCAUCUCCACGAUACCAAAGGAGCAAUCCGCUGAAAGAUGGGCUCAUAUCUGAUUAGUUAGUUGGCAGGGUAACGGCCUACCAAGACUGCGAUCAGUAGCCGGACUGAGAGGUUGAACGGCCACAUUGGGACUGAGAUACGGCCCAGACUCCUACGGGAGGCAGCAGUGGGGAAUAUUGGGCAAUGGGCGAAAGCCUGAACCCCAGCAACGCCGCGUGAAGGAAGAAGGUCUUCGGAUUGUAAACUUCUUUUAUGAGGGACGAAGGACGUGACGGUACCUCAUGAAUAAGCCACGGCUAACUACGUGCCAGCCGCAGC
rnacentral:rRNA from 1 species